rnacentral:rRNA from 1 species
UAGCUAGUUGGUGAGGUAAUGGCCCACCAAAGCGACGAUCGGUAGCCGGACUGAGAGGUUGAACGGCCACAUUGGGACUGAGACACGGCCAGACUCCUACGGGAGGCAGCAGUGGGGAAUAUUGCACAAUGGGGGAAACCCUGAUGCAGCGACGCCGCGUGGAGGAAGAAGGUCUUCGGAUUGUAAACUCCUGUUGUUGAGGAAGAUAAUGACGGUACUCAACAAGGAAGUGACGGCUAACUACGUGCCAGCAGCCGCGGUAAAACGUAGGUCACAAGCGUUGUCCGGAAUUACUGGGUGUAAAGGGAGCGCAGGCGGGAAGACAAGUUGGAAGUGAAAUCUAUGGGCUCAACCCAUAAACUGCUUUCAAAACUGUUUUUCUUGAGUAGUGCAGAGGUAGGCGGAAUUCCCGGUGUAGCGGUGGAAUGCGUAGAUAUCGGGAGGAACACCAGUGGCGAAGGCGGCCUACUGGGCACCAACUGACGCUGAGGCUCGAAAGUGUGGGUAGCAAACAGGAUUAGAUACCCUGGUAGUCCACACCGUAAACGAUGAUUACUAGGUGUUGGAGGAUUGACCCCUUCAGUGCCGCAGUUAACACAAUAAGUAAUCCACCUGGGGAGUACGACCGCAAGGUUGAAACUCAAAGGAAUUGACGGGGGCCCGCACAAGCAGUGGAGUAUGUGGUUUAAUUCGACGCAACGCGAAGAACCUUACCAAGUCUUGACAUCCUGCGACGAUGCUGGAAACAGUAUUUUCCUUCGGGACGCAGAGACAGGUGGUGCAUGGUUGUCGUCAGCUCGUGUCGUGAGAUGUUGGGUUAAGUCCCGCAACGAGCGCAACCCUUACUGUCAGUUACUACGCAAGAGGACUCUGGCAGGACUGCCGUUGACAAAACGGAGGAAGGUGGGGAUGACGUCAAAUCAUCAUGCCCUUUAUGACUUGGGCUACACACGUACUACAAUGGCGUUAAACAAAGAGAAGCAAGACCGCGAGGUGGAGCAAAACUCAGAAACAACGUCCCAGUUCGGACUGCAGGCUGCAACUCGCCUGCACGAAGUCGGAAUUGCUAGUAAUCGUGGAUCAGCAUGCCACGGUGAAUACGUUCCCGGGCCUUGUACACACCGCCCGUCAAACCAUGAGAGCCGGGGGGACCCGAAGUCGGUAGUCUAACCGCAAGGAGGACGCCGCCGAAGGUAAAACUGGUGAUUGGGGUGAAGUCGUAACAAGGUAA